rnacentral:rRNA from 1 species
GAUGAACGCUAGCUACAGGCUUAACACAUGCAAGUCGAGGGACAGCAUGAUUGAAGCUUGCUUCAAUCGAUGGCGACCGGCGCACGGGUGAGUAACACGUAUCCAACCUGCCGAUAACUCGGGGAUAGCCUUUCGAAAGAAAGAUUAAUACCCGAUAGUAUAGUAUUUCCGCAUGGUUUCACUAUUAAAGAACUUCGGUUAUCGAUGGGGAUGCGUUCCAUUAGAUAGUUGGCGGGGUAACGGCCCACCAAGUCAACGAUGGAUAGGGGUUCUGAGAGGAAGGUCCCCCACAUUGGAACUGAGACACGGUCCAAACUCCUACGGGAGGCAGCAGUGAGGAAUAUUGGUCAAUGGACGAGAGUCUGAACCAGCCAAGUAGCGUGAAGGAUGACUGCCCUAUGGGUUGUAAACUUCUUUUAUACGGGAAUAAAGUGGAGUAUGCAUACUCCUUUGUAUGUACCGUAUGAAUAAGGAUCGGCUAACUCCGUG